GUUGGCCUACGGGGCGCAGCAGUAGGGAAUUUUCGUCAAUGGGCGCAAGCCUGAACGAGCAAUGCCGCGUGAACGAGGAAGGUCUUCGGAUCGUAAAGUUCUGUUGAAGGGGAAAAAGAGCGGAGAGAGGAAAUGAACUCCGAUUGAUAUUACCCUUCGAGGAAGUCACGGCUAACUACGUGCCAGCAGCCGCGGUAAUACGUAGGUGGCGAGCGUUAUCCGGAAUGAUUGGGCGUAAAGGGUGCGUAGGCGGCCUGCUAAGUCUGGAGUGAACGGUACAGGCUCAACCGGUACAGGCUCUGGAA
rnacentral:rRNA from 1 species